rnacentral:rRNA from 1 species
UCGAACGGUAGCACAGAGAGCUUGCUCUCGGGUGACGAGUGGCGGACGGGUGAGUAAUGUCUGGGCAACUGCCCGAUGGAGGGGGAUAACUACUGGAACGGUAGCUAAUACCGCAUAAUGUCGCAAGACCAAAGCAGCCGGGACCUUCGGGCCUCUUUGCAUAUCCGGAUAUGGUGCCCGAGAAUGGGUAUAUAGGCUGUGUAGGUUGGGGAUACACGGCUCUCACCUCUAGCGCGAACGAUCCCCUAGCUGGUUCUGAGGAGGUAUGACCCAGCCCACACGUGGAAACUGGAGACACGGUCCAGAACUCUCUACGGGAGGCAGCAGUGGGGAAAUAUUGCACAAUGGGCGCAAGCUCUGAUGCAGCCCAUGCCGCGUGUAUGGAAGAAGGGCCUUCGGGUUGUAAAGUACUUUCAGCGAGGAGGAAGGCGUUGUGGUUAAUAACCACAGCGAUUGACGUUACUCGCAGAAGAGCACCGGCUAACUCCGUGCCAGCAGCCGCGUAAA